rnacentral:rRNA from 1 species
UACAGAGGGUGCGAGCGUUGUCCGGAAUUAUUGGGCGUAAAGAGCUCGUAGGCGGUCUGUCGCGUCGGCUGUGAAAACCCGAGGCUCAACCUCGGGCCUGCAGUCGAUACGGGCAAACUAGAGUACUGCAGGGGAGACUGGAAUUCCUGGUGUAGCGGUGAAAUGCGCAGAUAUCAGGAGGAACACCGGUGGCGAAGGCGGGUCUCUGGGCCGAUACUGACGCUGAGGAGCGAAAGCGUGGGGAGCGAACAGG